rnacentral:rRNA from 1 species
AUUGAACGCUGGCGGAAUGCUUUACACAUGCAAGUCGAGCGGCAGCACGGGGGCAACCCUGGUGGCGAGCGGCGAACGGGUGAGUAAUACAUCGGAACAUGCCCAGUCGUGGGGGAUAACACUUCGAAAGAAGUGCUAAUACCGCAUACGUCCUGAGGGAGAAAGCGGGGGAUCUUCGGACCUCGCGCGAUUGGAGUGGCCGAUGUCAGAUUAGCUAGUUGGUGGGGUAAAGGCCUACCAAGGCAACGAUCUGUAGCUGGUCUGAGAGGAUGAUCAGCCACACUGGGACUGGGACACGGCCCAGACUCCUACAGGAGGCAGAAGUGGGGAAUUUUGGACAAUGGGGGCAACCCUGAUCCAGCCAUUCCGCGUGAGUGAAGAAGGCCUUCGGGUUGUAAAGCUCUUUCGGCAGGAACGAAACGGCGAGCUCUAACAUAGCUUGCUAAUGACGGUACCUGAAGAAAAAGCACCGGCUAACUACGUGCCAGCCGCCGCGGUAAGAC